UGGUCCUUUUCCUUUCUGCUGACUCCCGUUAUUGGAAUCGAACGGAGUAUUUUGUUACUGGUGAGUAUGCCCUGGCUGACUGUAUCGGAGGUGACUGAACUUGGCCUCUCAGUAUUUGCAAUGGAAUUGGCCACUGCUUCUAACACCCAAGGUGACUAAAUAUUAAUAAUCCUCUUCAUUUAUAUUUUCAUCAUAUGGACGUGUUACAACACGACAGCGUCUAGCUGUAGGAGGUAGUAUGGUGUUUCGCUAGUACUCAAGCAAUCUAUUGGGUUCUUGACUACCCAAAUACAAUCUAUAUCGGACUGUAAUGUAAAAGCUUAAUUCCAAUAUAAAAUUCCUGGAGAUCCUAUAUAACUUCAAUCUCUUUUGUUAUUUUUAUUUUAUUUUUUUUAUUUUAUGUUUUUUAUUUUA
rnacentral:lncRNA from 1 species